UAGGGAAUCUUCCGCAAUGGACGAAAGUCUGACGGAGCAACGCCGCGUGAGUGAAGAAGGAUUUCGGUUCGUAAAACUCUGUUGUUAGGGAAGAAAAAAUGUAUAGUAACUAUAUACAAAAGAGACGGUACCUAACCAGAAAGCCACGGCUAACUACGCGCCAGCAGCCGCGGUAAUACGUAGGUGGCAAGCGUUGUCCGGAAUUAUUGGGCGUAAAGCGCGCGCAGGUGGUUUAGAAAGUCUGAUGUGAAAGCCCACGGCUCAACCGUGGAGGGUCAUUGGAAACUAAUAAACUUGAGUGCAGGAGAGAAAAGUGGAAUUCCUAGUGUAGCGGUGAAAUGCGUAGAGAUUAGGAGGAACACCGGUGGCGAAAGCGGCUUUUUGGCCUGCAACUGACACUGAGGCGCGAAAGCGUGGGGAGCAAACAGG
rnacentral:rRNA from 1 species